UCCCCGUUUCACAGGGCGGUCUGAACAGAGAGCUCGGCGUAAAGCCGUAGCAACAGUUCAUAAGGGUUGCGCUCGUUGCGGGACUUAACCCAACAUCUCACGACACGAGCUGACGACAGCCAUGCAGCACCUGUGCAAAGUGCCCCUUGCGGGGCUCGGCGGCUUUCACCGCCUUAGCGAUGCAUGUCAAGCCCAGGUAAGGUUCUUCGCGUUGCAUCGAAUUAAGCCACAUACUCCACCGCUUGUGCGGGCCCCCGUCAAUUUCUUUGAGUUUUAAUCUUGCGACCGUAUUUCCCAGGCGGCGCGUUUAACGCGUUAGCUCCGGCGCGGAGAUUGUCGAAUCCCCCCACACCAAACGCGCACCGUUUACUGCCAGGACUAC
rnacentral:misc_RNA from 1 species